rnacentral:rRNA from 1 species
CAGCAGCCGCGGUAAUACCGGCGGCCCGAGUGGCGGUCACUAUUAUUGGGCUUAAAGCGUCCGUAGCCGGGUUGGGAAGGCCUCCGGGAAAUCUGGCCGCUUAACGGUCAGAAUGCCGGAGGAUACUCCCAGCCUAGGGAGCGGGAGAGGCCGAGGGGAUUCCCGGGGUAGGGGGGGAAUCCUAUAAUCCCGGGAGGACCACCGGUGGCGAAGGCGCUCGGCUGGAACGCGUCCGACGGUGAGGGACGAAGGCCAGGGGAGCAAACCGGAUUAGAUACCCGGGUAGUCCUGGCUGUAAACGAUGCGGACUUUGUGUCGGACAAGCUAUGAGCUUGUCCGGUGCCGGAGGGAAACCGUUAAGUCCGCCGCCUGGGGAGUACGGCCGCAAGGCUGAAACUUAAAGGAAUUGGCGGG